ensembl:lncRNA
ACUUGCUGCCCCAAUACUGUACAUGCAAAGCCAAUUAAAAGGUGAAUAAUUCAGCUUUUCCUCCCCUUUUUUUUUUUUCUUUUUUUUCCUGUUUUUUUUUUUUUUUGGGAAGGAAAAUGUCAGGAAUAUUUUACAAAACAACGUGCGCCCUCAGAGCCAUCGGUCCCGCAGAUAGAAACCACAAAAAUACAAGAGUUUGACAUUUAAGAAAGGACCACACACAUAGAAAACGGGACAGGACACAGGUAGAAAAUUCCAUUUGCUCGUUUUUUUUUGAAAUAUUCCCACUUUUCUGUAGCUGUACCAAACCCAUCCCCUUCUCUUGGGCUCCAAGGAUGCUCCAGUUCCUUCCCGGUGAUUUUUGGGGAGGGUGGAGUUGUGGGAUGGGAGGAAUCUGUCAUUAAACCCAGUUUAGCACAACUGGAGGGGAUGGAGUCACUGCUCCCAUCCCAGCUCCCAGAAACCCUAAAAUAUCCAAGGAAACUCUUCCCUGGCUCUCCCUUCCCCAUCAGCUGUCACCUUCUCAUUUAGUGCCAAUUAACUCGGGGUUAAUUAAGCUCUGACACUUCCCCCCCCUCUCCUGGUGAUUCCUUUCCAUGCAAAUUUUGGGGGAUUUGUGGCUGGAAAAUGUGAAGGAUUUUGGGGUUUUGGUGGGGUUUUGGACUCUCACCCCCAUCCCUCCUUUCUGCCUCAGCUUCCAAAGGUUUGGAAUUUCCAGCAGAGCUCUGGGAGCAUCUCCUUGCCUUUAAUCCCUCAUCAUCAUUCCCACCCUUUUAUUCCCUUUUCUUUCAUUUUCAAUGGACCCAAACCAGUCUGGAAUUCCACAAUUCCCUUUCUCGUUCCCCCUCAAACUUUUUUAGGGGGAAGCUGGGUUGAAAGAUUAUUUAUUAUGGAUAAAAUCCCUCCAUUUGGAAUGGAAAUGCAGAAUUUCUUGGAUGGGGUAAACAUUCCCAAACUUCACUCCUAAAAAUCCAUCGGGGCUUUUCCCUCUGUUUUUAUUUCCCUGGUUUCCCAAAUUCCAGGAGAAAUUCUCAACUUUGUUUUACCCUUUUAGGUGUAAACUUGAGGGAUUAAUGACAGAUUCCAGAGUCCUGGAUCAUCCUGAACAUUCCAGGGAUGAAUUCCGAGCUGGGGAGGAGGAGGAGGAGGAUGAUGGGAUGGGGAAGAUUCUCUCCUCUCACGAAAAAGAUCAAAGCCCUUUAAGAAAACAAGGCCACCAACUUCACAAAGUGCUCUGAACAUUCAGGGGGCUCCCCCUCGGGAUUGGGAAUUCCUCUGGGAUAUUCCCUGUGGUGGGAGAAAAUUUUGGAGAGGGAUUUGUGCCCUUCCAAAGGCUUUGGAAAAGGAUUUGUGCCCAUCCAGGGGCUUUGGGAAAAGAUUUGUGCCCUUCCAAGGGCUUUGGAAAAGGAUUUUUGCCCCUCCAAAAGCUUUGGAAAAUGAUUUUUGCCCCUCCAGGGGCUUUGGAGAGGGAUUUGUGCCCUUCCAAGGGCUUUGGAAAGGGAUUUGUGCCCUUCCAAGGGCUUUGGAAAGGAAUUUAAGCCCUUCCAAGGGGUUUGGAAAGGGAUUUGUGCCCUUCCAAGGGCUUUGGAGAGGGAUUUGUGCCCUUCCAAAAGCUUUGGAAAGGGAGUUGUGCCCUUCCAAGGGUUUGGAAAGGGAUUUGUGCCCUUCCAAGGGCUUUGGAAAAGGAUUUCCCUUCCAAGGGCUUUGGAAAAGGAUUUGUGCCCUUCCAAAGACCUUGCAAAAGGAUUUGUGCCCCUCCAAGGGUUUGGAAAGGAUUUGUUGUGCCCUCCCAAGGGCGUGAGCAGCGCUGGAUUUUUGGAAUCGAGCCCCUCGCCCACCCUGGGAGGGUUUUGGGGGGCUCAGGGCAGCCCUGGAGGAGCUGCUGGACAGGGAGGAUGGAAAAGGGGCCCAGGGAUCCCUCUGGAUCUUCCCUCCAACUCUGGGAUCCCUCUGGAUCAUCCCUCCAACCCCGGCAUUCCUUUGCCUUGGGCUGGAAUCCCAAAGGGAGCAGGGUUGGGAAUUGCCCACCCCAAUCAUGGAUUGCUUCUCAUUCCACAGGGAAACAAAAAUAAAACCAAACAAAAAAAAAACCUGGAUGUGGCCGAGUGCACAAGCUCUGGGUCCUAAAGGAAUGGAAAAAGUGGGAAAAGGGAAGGAUCCAAGGAAAAGGAAAGGAUGAGGUAUAAAACAAGCGGAGCUCCAGGCCCUGGGGGAGCACUGGGAUCUCCUGGAUUCUCCUGGAUUCCUGGAGUCCAUCCCGGUGUUCCUGAGGGAUGCUCCCACAGCGUGGAGGUUCCUCAGCCACCCAGACCAACACUUGGACACUUUUCUGUGUCUUUUUAACCCCAAAAUCUUCCUCAGGUGGAGCGGGAUCGUCCCACCCGGUCACGGAGCGACUCCCAAAAUUCCAACCCUGUUAUUUGGGAUGCUUUUUUUUUUUUUUUUUUUCCCCUAAAAAGUCUUUCCUGCAGCUUUUCAAUUCCUAGAAGUGAUUUUCACAUUUUUAACCAACCAGCCAAGGUUUGGGAGGCGGUUUCUCCAUGAAAAAGAAAUCCUGCCCUGCCCCUGGAAGUGUCCCAGGAUGGGGCUUGGAGCAGCCUCUGAGGGGCUGGAAUUUUAUGGAUUUUCAAGUCUUUCCCACCCAACCCAGCCUGGGAUCUGUGGAGCAGAGGGAAGACUUCCAGUUGGGAACAGCUUUGCUACAAAAACAUUGGAAAAUGCUGCCCUUGGCACAGCGGGAUGCAAACCCCACAUGGAAUUCUCCAGAUCCAUCUGCAGCCAUGAAAUCCCGAGGGAAAGCAGGGAGAGCUCUUCCCAUCCAUCAGGAAAAACACAUUUCUGUUGGAUUCAGCCCAGCUGUUGUUCCUUGAUCUGCACAAUUCCAUUAUUUUCCAAACCAAUCCCACACUUUCCAGAGGUUCCCACAUCCGGGCAUUUCCCAUCCAUCCAUAAAGAAACGUCUGAGUCAACUGGAAGAAGAAUUUUCCACCUGGUGCAGUUUGGGUUUGGUUUUUUUUAGGGAUUAUUUUGUGUGAGGAAAAAUCAUUCCUGCCCCGCUGGAGUCCAGGUGGGAAUUGUGGAAUCCAGGCUGGAUUUCCCAAGUUGUGGUGUCAGGCAGUGAACAGAAGAGAUUCCCUGUCAGCCAAGGGAAUCCUGAUCCCAUUCCUGAGGAAUUCCUGUUUCCUGGAGGAAAGGUUGGCAGAGCUGGGAAUGCUGGAGGGAAUUUUCCCCCCUCUCCGGUGCUCUGUGGCAGUAGGUUCAGGGAAUUGCUGCUGUAUUCCAUUUAAUUUUGGGAAAACUCCACCCAAACCUCCUCUCCCAGGUUUUCAUUGUGCCCUGAUGGUGAUGGAACAGCAGCUGCAUUCUGGCUGAUCCAAAUUUCUUGGAAAUUUU